rnacentral:rRNA from 1 species
UACGUAGGUGGCGAGCGUUGUCCGGAUUUACUGGGCGUAAAGAGCGCGCAGGCGGUCAAGUCAGUCGAAUGUGAAAGCCCCCGGCUCAACUGGGGAGGGUCAUUCGAUACUGCUCGACUUGAAGGCAGGAGAGGGAAGUGGAAUUCCCGGUGUAGUGGUGAAAUGCGUAGAUAUCGGGAGGAACACCAGUGGCGAAGGCGACUUUCUGGCCUGUUCUUGACGCUGAGGCGCGAAAGCUAGGGGAGCAAACGGGG